GACCUGGUGGUUAUGGCGGAGCGGCUGCACCCGAUCCCAUUCCGAACUCGGCCGUGAAACGCUCCAGCGCCGAUGGUACUUUGUCUUAAGACACGGGAGAGUAGGUCGCUGCCAGGUCU
rnacentral:rRNA from 1 species